rnacentral:tRNA from 5 species
UUUCGCUGACGGCUCGAUGGAGAUCGCUGAAUUUCUGGGAUUCAGCCGGCAGCAGGGUCUGGGAACCUAUAAGACGGUCACACUUUUCAGUGAAGUC